AGUCGCAAGCUCGCGAGAGUAAGCUAAUCUCUUAAAGCCGUUCUCAGUUCGGACUGUAGGCUGCAACUCGCCUACACGAAGUCGGAAUCGCUAGUAAUCGCGGAUCAGCAUGCCGCGGUGAAUACGUUCCCGGGCCUUGUACACACCGCCCGUCACACCAUGGGAGUCGGGAAUGCCCGAAGCCGGUGGCCCAAUCGAAAGAAGGGAGCCGUCGAAGGCAGGCCGGAUGACUGGGGUGAAGUCGUAACAAGGUAAC
rnacentral:rRNA from 1 species